GGCUGUUUUGAUAUUUUAGAUAGUUUUGGGGGUGAAAGUGAGAUAAGGUAAGUAAUUAGGAAGAGAUAUAAAUAGGAGAGGACCUAAUAUUUUAGAAACUCAUUGUACGUGAAAACUUUUGGAAAAGGGAGAAAAAGCUUAGAGAGGAGCAAGAGACCAAGAGGGCUGCGAUUUUCUUCAUAACCAGGUAAGGGUGGGACUAAUAACUCAGUAACAUUAAUCUCUGUAAUUCUGAUGAUUA
rnacentral:lncRNA from 1 species